ACUCCUACGGGAGGCAGCAGUAGGGAAUAUUGGGCAAUGGGCGGAAGCCUGACCCAGCCACGCCGCGUGCAGGAAGACGGCCCUCUGGGUUGUAAACUGCUUUUGAUUGGGAAGAAAGCAGCUCAUGCGUGAGAAUUUGACGGUACCAAUCGAAUAAGCCACGGCUAACUACGUGCCAGCAGCCGCGGUAAUACGUAGGUGGCGAGCGUUAUCCGGAUUUAUUGGGUUUAAAGGGAGCGUAGGCGGCUGAUUAAGUCAGCGGUGAAAGGUAGCAGCUUAACUGUUUACAUGCCGUUGAUACUGGUUAGCUUGAGUUGACAGAAGGCAGAUAGAAUUCCUGGUGUAGCGGUGAAAUGCUUAGAUACCAGGAGGAAUACCGAUUGCGAAGGCAGUCUGCUGCAGUCACACUGACGCUGAGGCUCGAAGGUGCGGGGAUCAAACAGGAUUAGAUACCCUGGUAGUCCGCACAGUAAACGAUGAUUACUAGAUGUUGGCCAUGCCAGUGUCCAAGGGAAACCGAUAAGUAAUCCACCUGGGGAGUACGCCGGCAACGGUGAAACUCAAAGGAAUUGACGGGGGUCCGCACAAGC
rnacentral:rRNA from 1 species